UGGGGAAUCUUAGACAAUGGGGGAAACCCUGAUCUAGCCAUGCCGCGUGAGUGACGAAGGCCUUAGGGUCGUAAAGCUCUUUCGCCAGGGAUGAUAAUGACAGUACCUGGUAAAGAAACCCCGGCUGACUCCGUGCCAGCAGCCGCGGUAAUACGGAGGGGGUUAGCGUUGUUCGGAAUUAUUGGGCGUAAAGCGUCCGCAGGUGGCACUUCAAGUCUGCUGUCAAAGACCAGAGCUCAACUCUGGGCAGGCGGUGGAAACUGGGGAGCUAGAGUACGGUAGGGGUAGAGGGAAUUUCCAGUGUAGCGGUGAAAUGCGUAGAGAUUGGAAAGAACACCAGUGGCGAAGGCGCUCUACUGGACCUGUACUGACACUAAGGGACGAAAGCUAGGGGAGCGAAAGGGAUUAGAUACCCCCGUAGUCC
rnacentral:rRNA from 1 species